UCAAGAAGCAGCGGAGGAGCAUCCUGGCAGCGAAGCAGACAAAAGCGAAGCGCCGCCAGGCGCCGAUAGGAAAGUCGGCGAUAAAUCGUCGGAGAACAAGAA
rnacentral:snRNA from 15 species